rnacentral:rRNA from 1 species
GAUCAUGGCUCAGGAUGAACGCUGGCGGCGUGCCUAAUACAUGCAAGUCGAACGCUUCACUUCGGUGAAGAGUGGCGAACGGGUGAGUAAUACAUAAGUAACCUGGCACCUACAGGGGGAUAACUGAUGGAAACGUCAGCUAAGACCGCAUAGGUGUAGAGAUCGCAUGAACUCAAUAUGAAAAGUGCUACGGGACUGGUAGAUGAUGGACUUAUGGCGCAUUAG